rnacentral:lncRNA from 1 species
GCAGUAAGUGCUAACAACCGUUUUAUGCACCUACUUUUGUCCUCUUCUUCCAACCAAUACCGCUCGUUUUAUGUGCUUUGUAGAAACAGAGAGUUCAAAAUUCAAAUAGUGGCUUCAGGAUUUUGGCUAUAAACCAUGAAACACUCUGUCAUGCAAAUUCUCCAUGCCUCCUUUUCUAAAAUUUUCUUUUUGUCUUCAACUUUGCAUUUUAAAAACUUUGGCAGUUAUAAGGACCCACAGGAAUAAGGUACCACUCAGGUUAUGCCUAACAUAAUUCAUAAGAUACCAUCAUCAUCAUCAAUUUUUAAUGUUGAUUUCUUUGUCUUUGAUUUGACUGAGAGAACUCUCCAUUUUAGUUUCUAAUAGUUUUGUACUAUUAAAGGGAGAGAAGUGAGAAAAUGAUAGUUUAAAUUAGUAGAUAUCAAAUUCUUAAGAAAAAAGCAAUUACAGGGUUCUUGAAGGAGAUACUUCAAGGCUAUUUAAAGCUAACCAUUUCCUUAUCCUCUCUAUUGUGGAACUGACAUUUCAAUUCCCUUUUAUCCUGCCCAUAACUACUUCACUCUCUCCCUCCUCUUCCCCUGCCUAAACUGACCCAAUUUGAAGAUAAAUGAAACCAGUGAAAUCCAUCAAAGAAAUCUAAGAACUGUGACCCCACUCUCUUAUUUGGUUUUUAUAAAAAGAAAAAAAAUAAAAUCUUAUCAACAAAUUUUGAAUCUAGAGAUAUAAAAAAUUUCUCGAAAAUGGAUAACUGGGUAUUCAGAAGGGAUAGCUCAAGGAUCUUGGAAACUAAGCUUUCCUUUUUCUGUACUUCGAAACCCACAUCCCACGGCCCCCUUGUCCCUAGCCCCCCCUCUCCCCCUCAGCCUAAAACCAUCAUUCAAUGAGAUAAAUAAAGCUGGUCAAUCUCUGCAAAGGAAACUAAGAUCUAUGCCCUCAAACUCUCGUAUAGUUUUCAUAAGAAAAAAAAUUAGCAUGCCAUGGAUGAUCCUGAGAAAACAUGGAAGAAAUGUGAAUAGUUGUAACCUUAUUUUCAAAUCAAGUUGCUUUAGAAAAGAUGAAUUUCACCCAUGGUCUGCCGAACAGGGCCAAACUGCCCGGUUUGGGCAGUGCCGAGCUAGCCUGGUGCGAAACUGGGUUAGUUCGCUUAUUAUUUUCGGUUUCAACCCUAAACCGAACGGAACAGGUACCGAACUGACCGGAACCAGCCAGAAAGGGUCUGAAUUGGUCGGAACUGGCUGGUUUAGCUCAAACUCGGUGCGAACCAGCUGGUUCGCAUUGAGUCAACCUGGUUUCGAACUGGGCCCCCAAUAGUGACUUGUCUUAUGCUUUAAUUAUAGUUGGGAAGGCCCGAGAGGGCCUUCCCAACUACAAUUGAAAGUGGUGAAGAGAUUUCUACCACUUUUCCUUCCCAACCACUCAAAAAAUUCGCUGAUUCAGCAGUUCAAAAGAAAGAUCCAAGCCUAAUAAGGUGUGCUUUCUCUUCUCUAUCUUACAUUCCCUCAUUUUCUUGGAGGGGCAUGGAAAAAUAGCUCAAAAAUUACAAAACAAGGAAAGAUCAUGCUAGAAUUUUUAAUUUGUGGUUAAUGUUAUUAUAUACUGUAGAUCUAUAGACGAUCUACACGAUGACAUAAAAAAUUUUAAUUUCGAAUUAUAUAUAAUUUCUAAAAAUUAGAAAUAUAUUUUCGAAUUAAAAAAUAAUUUUUUAAAAAAUAAAUAAAAAUUAAAAAAGGUAAAAUCGGAAAGGUAUUUUGGGGCAUACAAUCUACUUUCUAUAAAAGUUUGGUAUCCAUUCAUUUAAGUUUAGAUGCGGUAAUGCACACAGUGGUCUAGGCCUAAAUUUUAAAAAAUGAGAAAUAAGUAAUCUUUGAUGCAUGCCCAAGGACCUAAAAAAUAUAUAUACCAUCCAUUGUUAUGUUCUACACAGAUCUAAGCUGAAAUUAAUUUUUAAAAUAUUAAUAUUAAAAAAAUUAUUUUUAAAUUCAAAAAAUUAAAAAUAUAUAAAUAAUUCUCAAAAUUAUGAAAAAUUACUUGUACAUAUUAAAUAAUUUAAAAAUAAUUUUUGAGCUAGAAAUCAUAUUUUUUCGAAUUUAUAAAAUUUAAAUAUAUUUUUAAAUAUGAAAAUUAUUAAAAAUAUAUAAAUAAAUAAAAAAUAUAACAAUUAGUAUUAUUUUUUAGAUAAAUUAGAUGUAUUUUUUGGGGUAAAAAAAAUUAUCUUCGUCAUAAGAAAAUUUUUCUAUUUUUAAAUAUUUGAUAGACAGAUGUUAGCCAUUAAGAAAAAAAAGAGCCAGAGAGUGAUAUUUGCUGGAAUCAUAGACAAAUGCUCUCGGAUCGGCACUAUUGGAAGUACAACUGGUGCAACAUAGAGUUCAAAGAAGGAGGGGUAACUAGGUUGAAACAGCACUUAGCUGGUGGUUACCUCGAUGUAUCUAUGUGUCGAAAAUGCCGACGGAAGGUUCGACAACAGAUGAAGAAGCACUUUGCUGCUUUUAGAGCAGCGAAGAAGAGGGUUGCGAAGAAGAAGGUCGAGGUGGACCGCCGAGCGACAGAGCUAUCUUUUUUUCACUCUAGGAAGUCAGAGGAGGCGUCUGCUCUAGAUGAUCAGAUACAUGUUGUCAUGUAGGCGUGCUUGGAUGAUCAAUGGGAGCAGGAUGAGGUGCCCAGGCAUAGGGCUCGCUUUGCCCCCUAGUUAUACGAGUUGGGCUCCGGUUCUGCUAGCAGCAGGGCAGAUCCAGAGUUCAAGAGGACCUCCACAGUCAAGGAGGCCGUCAACAGAGGCUGUGGUCGGAUUGUCUCUAUGUUGGAGGCUUUUGGUAGCAAAAAAAAGUCAUCCAAAGCGAUUCUAUCAGGAGCAGCAAUUAAUGAUUUAGAUCCACAUGCCUUUCCCAAUAGAGAUCAAAGCAGCCGAAGGUUGACUCAAUGCUGAAGAAGAAUAAGAAGAAGAAUAUGUGGCUAGCUAUUGGAUCUUGGUUCCACUUCAGCCACAUCCCAGCGAAUGUGGCAGAUAAUAUGUAGUAUAGGUCUAUCAUUUUUGCCAUACAGGUUGCCGGUCCUAGUCUAGAUCCUUCAGGCCGAAAAAAAUCUAUGGUGAGCUUCUUGAUGGUAAUAAGGAGGAGCUAGAUAAAUGGAUUGCCUUCUAUAAGAGCAAGUGGCUCACAUAUAGACUGACGGUGAUGUGUGAUGGUUGAAAUGGUUCUAUCAGGAGGAGCAUUUGUUGGGAGCCCGCCCAUGCCGCAGAAAAAAAAAUUUCAGAUUGCAGCGGAAGGAGCAUGCGCGGGAUCGACGUUCAUCUCAUGAACGUAUUUCAAAAACCGUUCGUAGAUAGAUUAGGAUUAAAAACUUUUUAAACCAUUAGGAAGAUCAGAUCUUCACCUUGUGCGGGUAGAUGAUCACCGCAAACUGAUGUUCGUGGUUUUGGAUGAAGGUUCGCUUGAAGCCGCACACGCGUCCGGCCUCUACGGGUAUCCACACGAAGUAGAGGACCCGAUCAAAGCUUCCUUGUCUCCCCGGGGUGCUAGCUCCCUUGCAGAAACAACUCUUGAUGGCUGAAAUCCUUCCUUUAAAUCAACCCUUGAUUACCUUAGGAAGAAGGAUGAAGGAGGGAUCUAGGAGAAGAACCAAAGGCUACUUGCAGCCUUUCUCCUUUCCCUGUGUUGGAAGAAGGAAGGGAGGAGGGAGGAGGGCCGCCAACAUCUUUCUCUUCUCUUCCUUGCUUGCGGCUGAAACCAAGAGGAGGUAGGGGGCCACGGCUUGGAGAGGGAGAGGGCUUGAAUUGCCCUAGGGUGCCGCCCCAUAUCCCCUUAUAAAGCAUGUGGAGCUCCUACAAAUUAGGAGCUCCUUGAUGUUUUUCCAAGAGGGGCGCCGGCCCCUCUUGUUUGCUGCACCAAGGAAAAACAAGAGGAGGGGCGUACGCCCCUCUCUCUUGAUUAACCUAGUCAUGCCCUCACAUGGUCAAGUCCUAAUCUAAUUAGGCUUUGAUCCAAGUGUGAACCAAUUUGGGUUUUAAUCUAUGCAAGUCCUAAUCCAAUUAGAACUUAAAUGAAUCAUGACUUAAUUGAACUCUUCAAUCCUAAUCCAAUUAGGAGUCAUCUUAAUUCAUUAGAUUAAUAAUUAAUUAGGACUUAAGAAAUUCUAAUCCAAUUAGGACUUGUUCAAUUUUAGUCCUAAUCCAAUUAGGUCUCUAGUUUGAAUCCGAAGUCCUAAUCUAAUUAGGACUUCUAGGAAUCCUACUUUAAGUAGGACUCCAAGUUGAAUUCAAAAUCCUAAUUCAAUUAGGAUUGUAGGAAUCCUACUCUAAGUAGGACUCCCAGUUCUAAUCCAAUUAGGACUCUAGGAAUCCUACUCCAAGUAGGAUUCGUGUUUAAGUCCAAUUAAUUAAAUUCCAUUGUUUCUUCUUCAACUGAUUAUCAAUCGAAUUGAUUUUUCACAAUCACAAUUCAUCCAUCGGAUCGGUCAAUACUUCUAAUGUGUGUGACCCCAUAGGUUCUAUUCUGUCUGGUAGUGAGAUAUACUGCGAUCUCUAUCACAAUAUCAUUGAAAACUCCUUUAAAUGGGUUGGAACAGUUCCAACUCAACUCAUCAGGGUUUAUCGAUCAUCAAGAUAUUCCCUGUGAGUCUCACCAUCCACCAGUGACACCUAGCAGCAUGUAGUGGCUAUCCAGCAGAAUGGAAUGAUGAAACUCUAGGUGCAGUUAUCGUAUGAUACAAUCGUAUGAUACAGUCCUUCUAUCGUGGAUCCCUACAGGAUGGAGGUCAUGGACAACUCGUCAAACCCCAUCGUCUGUCAUAUAUCAAGAUUCAUUUGACUUAAGUUCGAGAGUGGAAAACUCUUUCUCCACUGUUUUUACUGCCCCGGCCGAGGUCUUACGAACUCAGUCUUAUAAAUCACAUAGGAUCUCUCCUUAUCUACCAAGGUCAAUAGAUUCCAUAUAGGUGCAUACCCUACUCCUACAAUGAACCUACUGUAGCCAAUCUACACUGCAUGGACCCAUAUGUGUAGAGACCAUGUAUAUGUGCAGUCAAACUACAAUAACCUCACUGUGAGUAGCCGAAGCACCGCAGGUCAAAGGAUCAGUCAUACUACUGCAACAUCAAGCAAGUCACUGACGAGUGGAUAGACAUCCAAGUGACUUCUUGUUUUGGUCACGCUCAGUACCCUUGUUCUCUAACAAGCACCUACACUAUCACUUUAGUGUUCCCACACUGUGGACUCGAGUCUCGUCCAUCCAUAAGGAAAGUGAUGUGUGCACUGAUCUCAUCGGAUCGAUCACCAUCCUCGUGAUGAUCCAUCGAUCAGGAGCAUUUAGAAAUUAAUCACCAAUGAUACAUGGCUCAAAUUCUCAACUCUUGAGAAUAUGCAUCAUCUUAUUAAUUUCUUGAACAAUUCAUAGACACAUAAACAAUAUGAAUGAAAAAGAUGCCUUUUAUUAUUCAAUAAUAAUAAAGUGAAGUACAAAACUAUGUCCCAGAAUUAAUGUGUCAGCCAUAUUGGCUUCUAGGGCAUAUAUCUAACAGCAUUAUCAACUUUCUGAUAUAUUGUUAUGCGAAUAAUUUAUUACAUAAGUCGGUUGAUGCUUCUGAUCAGGUGCAUGACGCCGUGUAUAUCCUCAAACUGAUGAAAGUAACGAUUGAUUAGGUAGAAGAGAAGAAUAUCGUACAGGUCAUCACUGAUAAUAGGCUCCAAUAUAAUGCCGCCGGAGAGAUCUUGAUGGAGCAACGACCUUAUAUUUUCUGGAUCCUAUGUGUUGCACAUUAUAUCGAUUUCAUGUUAAUAGAUAUUGCGAAGAUUCGUAGGAUGCAGCAAAUAAUGGAGAAAACCCAAACCAUCACCAGGUAUAUUUAUAACCAUACGUGGGUCCUUUCACUGUUGAGGAGGUAUGCACAGAAAGAGAUCUUGAGAUCAAGAGUCACAUGGUUUGCUACCAACUGUGUUGCGCUUGAUAGCCUUCUUGAGAAGAAAGCAAUCCUACGUCAGAUGUUUGUCAGUCCCGAGUGGCAGAAAAGUAGAUAUGCAAGUGCCGGCAUUGAAGGGAGCAGCGUCAAGGAUUUGGUAUUUAGGCAGAUAUUUUGGCAGCGGGCCAUUGCAAUAAUUAAGGUUAUCAGACCAUUGUAUGAAGUGCUUCGGAUCGUGGACAGCGAGAGGUACCUCAGUGGUGAGACUACCAAAUGGGUAGAAACUUGCAUCUAGCAGGUAUACAAGAAUAUUGAAAAUUAGAUUGCUCUUGUACUUGUACAAUUUUACUAAAAUAAUAACAAACUCUAUGUGCAGCAUACUACUUGAACCCUCGGUUCUAGUACAUCGUACCUGAAAUCGAUAUGGAUAAUGGACUUCUGGCUGCUCUGCAUAACGUGAUUUACAAGAUGGAGCCAGAUCUAGAAGUCGCAACCUUAUAUCUCAAAGAGGUAAGUUAAGUGACAUGUAUAAGUUUAACUGAUAUCUUCUAUUAUUAACAUAGUACAAUACGAUUUUUUUUCACAGAACAAAAUAUUUAGAGAGGGUAGCGACAACUUUGGAGUCUCGACAGCUAUCGUAAGUAAGAAAAGUAUGAAUUCAGGUAUGUUACACAUCAGGAGGAUAUUUAUCUGGCGUUAGAUGGUUACUAAUAUUGUAUAUCUUAUAUGCAAUUUUUUUCAAUAUUUUUGCAACUGAAUGGUGGAUUUAUUUUGGGAUAUCUGCGAAAAAUCUUAAGCGGUUAGUUAUCCGGAUCCUCUUUUAGAUAGUCUCUUCGAGUGGUUGUGAGCACAAAUGGUCCACUUUUGCCUUUAUCUAUAGCAGGCAGAGGAACCGUUUGACACUGAAGCGCAAACGAUCUUGUAUAUGUUCACUACAAUCUGAGGUUGAGGCUGAAGUGCAUUCAGAAGGAAGUGGAGCUCAAGUACAUAGAUCCGAUCUAUAGUGCUUUCGUAGAUGAUGAGGAUGAUCCUAUGGUCGGAUGGCUUAUGGACCAGUAGCAGGAGCCGGAGCUUAAUUAGCGAGGAUCGCCUCUACGAUCGGCUAGUUUCGUAGCCAGCGAGGCUAGGGUCGAUCAGGGCAAUAGGCUGGGAGCAAUAUUUCACGCAUCCUUUCAGCUGAUCAGCCACAGCCUAAGGAGAUCCGGUCACCAUAUGACUUCUUGUUAGAGACAUCCUCUUAGAGAUAUUAUCGAAAGUUGCUUAGAUGAGGCGACUAUGUUAUUCGGUCGACUCGGUCAGGAGGGCGACAUACAUCCUGAAAGUUAUUCCUAGGUUCUUCGGUGUUUAGAAUGCUGAAUUUUUUUUUUUUUGAAAACCAUGGCUGAACCUGAUCGGGUUGCCUACGUACCCCUUCACAAGGGGAAUUAAGCCACACGNNNNNNNNNNNNNNNNNNNNNNNNNNNNNNNNNNNNNNNNNNNNNNNNNNNNNNNNNNNNNNNNNNNNNNNNNNNNNNNNNNNNNNNNNNNNNNNNNNNNNNNNNNNNNNNNNNNNNNNNNNNNNNNNNNNNNNNNNNNNNNNNNNNNNNNNNNNNNNNNNNNNNNNNNNNNNNNNNNNNNNNNNNNNNNNNNNNNNNNNNNNNNNNNNNNNNNNNNNNNNNNNNNNNNNNNNNNNNNNNNNNNNNNNNNNNNNNNNNNNNNNNNNNNNNNNNNNNNNNNNNNNNNNNNNNNNNNNNNNNNNNNNNNNNNNNNNNNNNNNNNNNNNNNNNNNNNNNNNNNNNNNNNNNNNNNNNNNNNNNNNNNNNNNNNNNNNNNNNNNNNNNNNNNNNNNNNNNNNNNNNNNNNNNNNNNNNNNNNNNNNNNNNNNNNNNNNNNNNNNNNNNNNNNNNNNNNNNNNNNNNNNNNNNNNNNNNNNNNNNNNNNNNNNNNNNNNNNNNNNNNNNNNNNNNNNNNNNNNNNNNNNNNNNNNNNNNNNNNNNNNNNNNNNNNNNNNNNNNNNNNNNNNNNNNNNNNNNNNNNNNNNNNNNNNNNNNNNNNNNNNNNNNNNNNNNNNNNNNNNNNNNNNNNNNNNNNNNNNNNNNNNNNNNNNNNNNNNNNNNNNNNNNNNNNNNNNNNNNNNNNNNNNNNNNNNNNNNNNNNNNNNNNNNNNNNNNNNNNNNNNNNNNNNNNNNNNNNNNNNNNNNNNNNNNNNNNNNNNNNNNNNNNNNNNNNNNNNNNNNNNNNNNNNNNNNNNNNNNNNNNNNNNNNNNNNNNNNNNNNNNNNNNNNNNNNNNNNNNNNNNNNNNNNNNNNNNNNNNNNNNNNNNNNNNNNNNNNNNNNNNNNNNNNNNNNNNNNNNNNNNNNNNNNNNNNNNNNNNNNNNNNNNNNNNNNNNNNNNNNNNNNNNNNNNNNNNNNNNNNNNNNNNNNNNNNNNNNNNNNNNNNNNNNNNNNNNNNNCAAGAGGGAACGAAUUUAAAUCCAUGCGGCAAGGUAAAACACUUCAUAAUUUCGAAAUCACCUCUUGAAAUUCGAAUUUAAUCCAUUCAAAAACUCAGACGCCACCUUGGCUGAUGGUUUGAGUGAUUAAAAUCAUUUAACACAUUGCUUAAUGUUUGAAUUUAAAUUCAAAUAACAAACAAUGUCGCUAUGUGUCAAGCAAUGGGUCCAUGUGCCAUGCAAUAAUUUUGGUUUAUUUAAAAUUCAUGAAAUCCAAUUCCAUGUCACCAAUAAUUGCCACAUCAUCUGAGCCUAAUCCUCUUAGGUUGCACCUAACCAAAUUUGGUCAAACCCGAAUUAAAACAAAGCAAUUUGGUUGAACCCAAUCUAAUCAGGUCAGACCCUGAUUGAGCUCAAAUUGAAUCCAAUUCAAUUUUUGGCUCAUCCAAACUCAAUCAAAUUGAAUUAAUUACUUUGUAUUGGACCUAAUCCAAUUAGGUCAAUCCCCAAUUAAGAAUAAAUUAAUUUAAAAUUAAUUUGAUCAGCUUAAGUCCUUUUUGGUUCUGACUUAAUCCAAUCAGGUCAAAACCCUGAUUGAGCCUAAACUUGAAUCCAAUUCAAUUUGGCUCAUCCUUAGCAUAAUUACUCAAUCAAAUUGAGUUUAUUAGUAAUUUAAUUACUAAUUAAUCCUUCAAUAAUUACUUUAAUUAUUUUGUAAGAUAAUUUGCCAAUCAAAUUGACCAAAUUACCCCUGAAUGAUUCUUAAUCAUUCAUCAGCUUUCUUGAUCAAUCAGGAAUCUUCUAUGCGUGUGACCUCAUAGGUUCGAACCUAAGCCGGUAGUAUAGGAACAAUUUUCUGCACUAAUCGAUGUGACCAUCUAGCAAUGGUACCCGACAUCCGGAUAGGCCGAAUAUAUGCGAAGCAAAUAUUCUGGAACCCUGAACUAUGGUUACUGUAUAAUUCAAUCCCUUUGACUCCUAAUGUCAGGAUGACUUAGAGCUCACUGUCAACCCUAUAAUUAGUACAUCCAUUAUGUGAUUAACUUUAGAUAUCCCGUGACACCUCACUGGGAUUACCCUGGCCAAGGUUUUGCUAAAUUAAUCACAAGACAUUAUCUUCUGNNNNNNNNNNNNNNNNNNNNUCUUCUGUUUUCAGGAGGGGUCAAUUCCAUCUUGACUCACAACUGACUACGCAAGUACUUGAUUGCACCCAGUGACCUUCCGUCACUGAAUUAGAAAUUCAGGUAGUCCGGUACCAAAGUACAGUGAGUUGCUUGCUAGUCACAGGUUGCGGUCUCAGGUCAGAGGGCCAAACUUAUACCCAUAUCCACUCGGAACAUCUCUCGACAGUAGAGCAUUCCGGAAUUGGUCACGUUCAGUGAAAUGUACUCCUACACUUCACCUGUGUGGCAUACCAGUGUCUCCACACUCCUUGGUUAAGAGGACAACCAACGUAUAUAUCACACAACGACCUAAUCUCAAUAAUGCUGUCGUCCUAGUAACAACAUAUCAUUUGGUCGCGAACAAGUUUAAGGACUCAAAGAUAAAUCCUCCUUUAUCAUAACAUAAGUCCUAAGGACUUCAUCAUAUAAGAGUUCAUUUGAAGAUGAAAUGAUGAAUAAUGCCAAAUAACACUUUAUUAAUUUGUCAAUUCAUUUACAAAAUUCAAUCAUUAAUAUGCUGACGAUUGACAUUUAGGAUACAAAUCCCAACACAUCCUCCUAGGAUAGCCAGGCAAAGAGGGGCACGAAAGAUAAGAAGGCAGCUGCCCAACACACUAAAAAGAAAAUAAAAGGCACAUGCAACCCCAAUAGAGAGUGUCGAGGAGUCAGUUUACUUAGAUUCAGAGAUCAGAAGUAGCAAUUCUGGUAGUCAUGGAUCUGUUGGCUAGAAUGAGAGUGGAGGACAUGAGAUCAUUGUUUAUUAGAUACAAUCAUAGGGUAGUCUUCGAUUCACCGGUGAGUCCUAGUUUACGCGUGUUACAUAGGAUAGGGAUCAUGGUGCAGAAUCUGGUAGAGCCUGCGAGGAUACAAUUGCAUGUAAGAGAUGGGCUUCUUGAGGUUAUUCAGGAGGACACAAUGCAGUUGCAGAUGACCUCGCACGUGGAGUAGGAUCCAUAAGCGUAUCAAAUUUUGAGUCGUAUAUUGGAUCCUAUUUUCCGCAGCCACUGGCAGCCUAUGACUUAUGCGGAUAUGAACAUAGUGUGUCUGAGGUAUCUUCUAAUGGCUACUAUUCUACGUAGUUUGGAGCAUCUUACAGGUCGAAUUUUGCUGCUAGCAUAUUCGGAUAGGCUCCUCUACAGCUGUAUUAUUAGCCAGAGGAUACCUCUAAGAGGUAGAGUUUUAGCGAGAGAUCCGAGAGUGCUUAUAACCCGACACAUGUUCCUUAUGGGAUGAGCGUACAAGAUUACAAUGCCGCUUGGUUAGCGGGGUGGGUUGAUAUGCCUCCUAACUCUGCUGAUGAUCCGGAUAUCUACAAGAGACAUUACCACUCGAUCCGAUUUUAGAUAUCGGCAUGUAUGUUGUACUUUAAAUGUAUGUAAUUAAUUGUAUUAUUUUUUUAAUUUUUACGUCGCUAUUUGAUUUGAGGAUAUUUUAUAUUUUUCAUUGUAGAAUGCAACAUCUCACUAAUUAUUUUAUGAUUUGUAUCAUUUUAAAACAAAAAGAUGCAUCAUUUAGGUUAAAUCGGAAUUAUAGAAACAUCAAAAAAAAUCUAAAAAUAUUAAGAAAACAUCAAAAAAACAUCAAAUUAGACUAAAAUCAUUGAAAAAGUUCAAAAAGAGUGAUUACCAAUUAAAUAUUCUUGAAAACUUAAAAAAAAUUUGGGUGUGCAGGUACGGAACCGGCAUGCCCAACCCGUAUCGAGUCGGUACGAUACCGAACCGGUACCGAUCUGUACCGGGCGUCGACCGGUAUGGGUCCCGGUACUGGUUCGGCGGACCUUGCUUUAACCCAUUACUCAUACAAGAGAAUACAUGUUGAUCCAAUCGAGGAAUUAAAAUCUGAUUUAGUCGAAGAAGAAGAAGAAAUUGCACGUGCUUAAUAUAAAAUUCUUUUGUGGUAGCAACAAAGCAUAUUGGUUGUCAUCUAUUUCUAUGUGUUUAUUGUUUUUCAUGUUCUUUUCUAAAUCUUUCCUUCGUUAAUAUAUACGUAUUCUAUGUUUUAAAUGCUUCAAUCUAGCAUGAUUCAAAUGGACAUGCAAUGGCUGAGGUAUAAAAUUUGGAUUAGAAAUCAAACUUAUAACUCAAUUUGUGACAUAUUGAUAGUUGAUGAUGCUCUAAGACCAAACAUGGAAAUCUGAUGGGAUAAUUUUGUGAUUUUACAACUCGUGAUUAUGAUCUAGCCUUGUGCAUACUUAACCUAAUAAUCUAGAGUCCUGAAGCAGCAUGAAGUAGAUCAAGUUUUGAUUUGAGGUUGUGCGUGUGCGCACAUAUGUGUGUGUGUGAGAGAGAUGAGAAAUUGGUCUAUUUAUAGUGAGUUACGAGAGGAUGCCAUCUUUCUUAUUCUUAAAAAAACAUAGGCAAAAGGGGGUAAUAGAUCUUUAAAUUUCUUAGUUGGGUUAUCCUAGUUUGUUGAUGGGAUCUUAAUUUUAUAUUUUUGUAACUAGAUGAGAGUACGGGUCAGCGGUCUUAAAUUUCUUUGUGGUUUUCCCUCAUUAUAUAUCUUAAUAAAUAAUGUGCUUAUGCAGGGAAGGAAAGAGAGAGAAAGUUAGGGUGCAAAUGGGUCAGGUCCGACCGGGUCAUGGGUGACCCCGACCCAACUCAGUUUUUUGUUCGGGUCCUAAUUUUGGACCCAGACCUAACCUAAUAGAAGAUCGGGCCAGUCGGUUCGGGUCCACGGCUACAAUUUUUGAUCCAACGGGUCAUUCGGGUUGAGUCUAGUUGGGUCCAUGUAUAACCCAGACCCAACUCGAAAAAUUCAGGUUUGGGUUGGGUUCGGGUCUUGACGAAAAAUUCCAUAUUAUUUGUAACAAUAACAACUAUUAAUUCCAAAAUCAAAGGCUAGCACUUUUAUUGUCCCUGUCCUCCGUAAACUCCAGCCAUUUUCUUUCAUCUUCCGCUCCUAUCAUAAUGGAUCGAGCAACGUUUGAGAUCACCAACCUCGAAAAAGAGUUCUUUGAUGUCCUCGUUGGAGACACCAUCAUCCAAGUUGGAGAAGUAGAGCUUGGUACGGGGUGCUUCCUGGGCCGGUUGGAGAAUCGACGGACAGGGCUGUUCGGCCCUCUUCCUCGCCUUUGGUUGCUACCGCUGCCGGUGGCCGACUUAUUGUUUUUCUUGAUGAGUUCAUUGAGGGCCAUAUCCAAAACGUUUGUCAUCAUUGUCAAUGGGCUUUGGAAGAGCCAAUUGCGGUUUUAGGAUACAGGUGGUUUUGGGGGAUGGCGGGGUAGGAGAGACGAGGUAGGGUUUCCGAAGUGUGGGUAUGAGGGGCAAAAGAGGGUCCACUUGCAAGAGGAAGGGAAAUGUUGAAAUUCUUGUGUGAGGAGAGGUAGGAAAGGGAGCGGUAACUGAAGUAGUUAAACACUUUCGUGUGAAGGGGAAGCAUAGGGACCGGCAAUUAAAGUAGUAAUUUAAUUGCUAGCGGAGUGCACGAGUCUCAGCAGCCAAAACACCAUUGUAUGUUUGUUUGUUUGGAAAUCUCUUCUUGUUUCGAUCAACCCAUCCAUGGCUUCCCUUUUCCUACUCUUCCUCCUCGUCCCCUUCGCCACCCUCCUCUUCCUGGCCGCCAUCGUCCGCCCACGACGCGUCGGGAUCCCCAUCACAAGGGCCGCCACAUCCUCAUCACUAGCGAGUCUAGUGGCAUUGGCCUCACCCUCGCUCGCCGUGCCACCGCCAAGGGCGCCCUGAUGGGGGCUCACGGUCCAAAGCCCCUCACCAAGCCCCUUUCCUUGCGCUCCUUACACGCCUUCAAAAACGAUAAUGAUGGACUGAUUGUAGACAACGCCGGUGGAAUAACUCAAGAAAAAGAUCAACAAUGAAAGCAAACUUGAUUUAUAUUCCACUAAAUUGAAGAACGAAGAACAAGAACAAAGAAAGCAAAAGAAAUCUAGCAAGAGAUUUAAGAGAUCUCUUCCUAGCCCAAUCUAGUGGAGAUUGAUGAAUCUACCACUAGCCCAAGUCCUAGAACACAAGAUCUAAGGACCGAAAUCGGCACAAACGCCGCCCAAGCCUUACGGCCGACAAAAUAACAUAACUCUGGAAUAACUCUGGAUGCCUCUCAAUGGCCCUCUACAUCUCUAUUUAUAGGCUAAGCCCUAGACAAAACUAACACCCCUUAGGUAAACAUGGCAAAUUGUCUUUCCAUAGAUCCAAGGCUUUUCCACUAUCGAUUGGCAUGAGAUUAGUGGCUGAAAAUCACCCAAGAAGGGCCCUCCCACGGCUGGACAUUGGCUUGAUUUUUGGCCGUUGGAUGGAAGAGGUUGGAGGGUUGGAUCUGCAUGGGCGCACGGGCGGGCGCGCGGGCGGUCGGCCUGCUGGGCCUGCGGGUGGGCGCGUGCGGGCUUGUGCGCGCGGGCACUGUAGUAGGCAAGGUUUGGCCGGCCGAACCUCGCCACACUGUAGCAGGCUGGCACGCGGCUGGCUGGCGGGUUGGCUGUGCGCGGACACUGUAGCUGGCGAGGUUCUUGCCCAAGAACCUCGCCGCACUGUAGCAGGUGAGGUUGGCCGCGGCAGGACUUGGCUGCGGCAUGGUUUUGGCGGGGCUACGCACGCAGCGGGCUUGGCCAAGGUUGGGCAUGCUUGGCUGAGGCUUGGGCACGCAUGGGCGCAUGUUUGGCUCGGCCGAGGUUGGGCGUGCUCGGCCGAAUGAAGAGGCUUGUUCAAGGCUUUCCAAGCAAAGUAGUUGGCCUUGGCUUGACCCUCCGUUGGCCUCCUUGUGGCCCGAUGGCCCUCCUUGGUUGGCAUGGCUACUUUGGCCUUCGGUUGGUGCAUGGUUGUGGCUCUUCUUGCGGCGUGGCUUGCGGGGGUCCUCAACAUUUCCCCUCUUUUGAAGAACAUCCUUGCCCUCAAGGAUGAAGUUGGGGUACCUCUGAGUGACCUCGUCAUAGUCCUCCCAUGUAGCAUCUUCCUUGGGCAAGCCGCCCCACUGAAUCAAGACUUGCCAAAUUUUGCGUCGUUCUCGGCCUCGUCGCCAUAUGCGGUACUUGAGGGCUUCAACUGGUUGAAGAAGUAGCCAGCCCUCCUCAUCAAAUGUGGGUUAGUCUGGUGCUAUUAACGCUGGGUCACCAACCUUCUCUUUGAGCCAAGAUACAUGGAAGACUGGAUGAAGCUGAGAUGCGGCCGGUAACUCCAGUCAGUAGGCGACCUCUCCGAUGCGUUCUAUGAUUCUGAAUGGCCCAUAAAAUUUUUGAGAUAACUUGUGGUUGAACUUAUUUUUCAAUGAUUUUUGUUGGUAGGGCUUCAGCUUUAGGUAGACAAACUGGCCAGGGGUGAAGACAACGUCUCGGCGGCCUUGGUCGUAGUAUCUUUUCAUCCUUUCUUGUGCCUUCCAAAGCUCCCUUUUUACAUUUGCUAGGACUUCGUCCCUUGCCAACAAUUCUUGUUCAACUUCCUCACUUCGGGCCGUGCCCCUCUCAUAUGUAGUCAAUAGUGGAGGGGGUCUCCCAUACACAAGUUCAAAAGGACUCAAUUUAAUGGAUAAAUGGUACUCAUGAAGACUCGAUCUCGGUCGGUGACGAUGCUCCUUGUUACUCCAUGGAGUCGAACAAUGGUCUCCACGAAUGCAUGUGCAACUGACUUGGCUGUGUAAGGAUGUUUAAGAGGUAUGAAGAGCGCAUACUUACUCAGCCGAUCAACCACCACUAGGAUCACCUCAUAGCCCUUGCUUGUCGGUAGACCCUCGAUGAAGUCCAUGGUCAGAUCCUCCCAUAUCAUGUUCAGGAAGGGAAGAGGUUGCAGCAGUCCGGUUGGUGCCCGUGGAUCAUAUUUGGUCUUCUGACAUAUCUCGCACUCAGCUACCAAGGAUUUGACGUUGCGCUUCAACCCUUCCCAAUAGAAGAAGUGCUUCACAUGAAGGUAGGUGCGAAGCCAACCUGAAUGGCCCUUCCUUGCUGUUGUGGAUGUGGUCUAAGAUGUUCCUCCUCAAGUCGGGGACGUUGGGGACAUAGACAUUUCUCUUGUAAAAAAUCAGACCUUCGCGUACCUUAAAUUCUGCAACACCCAUAGCCGCUGCAUCUAGUUUUUCUUGGAUUUCUUGUGCUCGGGCGUCAAGCUUCGUUGCCUCGCGAACUUGGUCCCAAAUCCUCCAAUCAACGCCGCUGAUUGCUGCAAAAUUCUGCAGCUCGUUCAUGUCUUCAGCCACCCACAAAAUCUGGUCGUUCUCCCUUUGCGACAAUGCGUCAGCCACUUUGUUUUCUUUGCCGGGUUGAUAGAUGAUGUCGUACUCGAAACCCAGCAACUUUACAAGAAAUUUUUGCUGUUCGGGAGUCACUAUCUUUUGUUGAAGUAGAUGGCGAAGCGCUUGCUAGUCCAUGAUGAUGGUGAAGCAUCGGCCGAGAAGGUAUGGCCUCCAAAUCUUCACCGCAUGUACAACCGCCAUCAAUUCUCUUGUGUAGGUGCUCCAAGCUUUCUUCCUUGGCCCUAAUGCUUUGGAAAUGAAGGCCAAAGGUCGUCGUUCCUGCACCAAAACAGCACCUAUACUUUCGCCACUCGCGUCGGUGUAGACCUCGAACGGUUUGGAAAAAUCAGGCAAGGCAAGUACCGGUGUUUGUGUCAUAGCUUCCUUGAGGUCUUCAAAUGCCUUGCGCGCUUGAAUGGUCCACAUGAAACCUCCUUUUUUCAGCAUGGUGGUUAGCGGCUUUGCAAUCAGCCUAUAAUCUUUUACGAAUCAUCGGUAGUAGCCGGUUAGCCCCAAAAAUUCUCUUAGGGCCGUGAUAUCCUUCGGCCAUGGCCAAUCGAGCAUGGUCUGAAUUUUUGGCCACUCGCGUCGAAAUCGGUCACCACCCGACCUAGACUAUGAAACCAUGCAUUUCCCAAUACAAUGUCUAAGCCGACUAAUUGAAGUACAUGUAGGUCGGCUUUAACUCUCACCCCUUGUACAUUCAUCUUUACAUUAUUAACAAUUUCAGCACAUAGUAAUUUUUCACCACUAGCAAUUUUGACUUCAAACGGUGAAACCGAUGUACUUUUGAGUCCAACCUUUCGUACGAUCACUGAGUUGAUGAAAUUGUGAGAAGAGCCACUGUCCACUAACAAGGAGACCUCAUGCUUGCCGAUCCAAGCCAUGAGCCUUAUUGUAGAUGGUUUUGAUGCGCCGCAAAGUGCAUUGAGUGACAAUUCAGCAUGCUGAUUUUCUGCACAUGGUUUGGGCUCUUUGGGGUGAUCUUCCUCCUCGCUGCUGCUAUCUGAAUUUUCAGAUGCAGUGGGCUCUUCGUCGCUGCUUGCAUCAAGAACGUAGACUUGGCCGGUCUUGCAAUGAUGCUUCCGGUUCCACUUUUCACCACACUUAAAAUAUAGUUCCUUUUUUAUGUAAUCUUGCAGCUCAUCACGUGACAACUUCUUUACCUCCUUUUGCUGAUUUUUGGAACUUGUUGAAGUCAUCUCUUUGGAUCUGAAAUUUACCUUGGAUGGUUGUGGUUUGGUGAACUUGCUGAUUGCACCAUCCUUGGUUGUACGUCGUUUCGGGUUGUAGCUUUGGUCUAGAAUCUCUGCCAUGCGCAUCGCUUCUUGUAGCCGCGUUGGUUGUUUGAGUUUGAUCUCCUUGGCUAACCACGGUUUGAGGCCGUCGAUGAAGGUACCAAGCAAGGCUUCGUCGGACCAUCCGCUGACCAUAGUUUGCAAUCGCCGGAACUCAUUGAUGUAGGUCUGGACUUUGCCCUCUUGUUUGAGUUUUGCAAGUUGACCAUGGUGAUUGACAACGGAGGAAGGUCCCCAUUGCUUCAUAAAUUCAUCUAUAAAGGCAGUCCAACCCAAUCUUUUUCUUUCUUUCUCAUACAAGGCCCGGAUCCACCUCUACCGUCGGCUAGCCUUACCUUCUAAGUGGAAACUAGCUAGGGUCACCCGAUCAGCCCAUGGGAUAUCAUAAACGUCAAAGUACCGAUNNNNNNNNNNNNNNNNNNNNNNNNNNNNNNNNNNNNNNNNNNNNNNNNNNNNNNNNNNNNNNNNNNNNNNNNNNNNNNNNNNNNNNNNNNNNNNNNNNNNNNNNNNNNNNNNNNNNNNNNNNNNNNNNNNNNNNNNNNNNNNNNNNNNNNNNNNNNNNNNNNAGCCGGGAGGCCUUUGAGCAUGGAAGGGACGUUUUUCGGGUUCACUAUCGGCCUCAUCAUGAUUGUUAUGGCCAUUACUAACCCACUCAUCGUCAAGCCACCUCUCAAACACUAAGCCUUCGGCUUCUAUCCUUCCUCCCAUUCGGCCAUGAUGCCUAAUGCCAUGAUCUACAUGAUGUGUACCCUGAACACUAAUGGCAUCGCUCUCAUACCUUGCCCGGCCCUGCCGUGCGGCAUGCGACCUAGGCACUUCUUCUUGCACCCUCUUAUGUUCCCUCUCUAGCAUCCUCCUUUCCAACCUCUCAAUGUUGGCAUUGUUCUCCCUCUUUAUUUCAGCUAUAUUUGCAGCUAAAAUAUUGGACAAAGUUUCCAAUGCCCGGUUAAGGUUGGCCAAACUAACUUCAAGGGCUUCUAACCUCUUAUCUUGGUUGCUAUUUUGGGGGGACUCCAUCUCCUUUUAACCCUCUGUUUUAGGACUCUAAAAACCCUGAGACAACAGCCCCUCUAACUCCCAAAUAUCAGAACUCAAUCAAGCCCCAAAAUCUUGCUGCACAAAAAAUUUCUGGACUGCAGAAAAUUUCUGCGGCAGUCCACCGACCUCAGCAGCAAAUAUUUCCCUCAAAACAGAACCAAAUCACCACCCAAAGAUGCCUAUUACAGCAACUAAUAACUUCUGAAACUCUCCACGAAAAAUCAAAAUCAAAGCUUCAGAAAACCCUGAUCUUAACAACCCAAACACAGACCUUGCUGCAGAAUUUUUCUGCAACAUAGAAACUUCUCCAAAUCAGUCCCCAAGCCUCCUGCGUUGUCACCCAAAGGAUGAACCAACCCACCUGAUUUGUACACCACUCAAUCAACCUCCGACAGGGGUUUUACAAUAAUAAAAAUAGAAACUAAAAAUCCCCCAAUCGAAUACAAAUUCAAGCCCAAUAUAGGAUGCAGAAUUUUUAUGAAUUUCACCAAUAACUAUGAUCUGAUUUUUAACUUUAGAUCUAAAAGAAUAUGCAAGGCAAAUUCAGAUCUGGAAGAUUGGUAUUCAAGCGUUACCUCCUUGAAGGAUUCUCUCAAUGAAAGUACCAAUUUGAUGGGGGCUCAUGGUUCAAAGCCUCUCACCAAGCCCCUUUCCUUGCGCUCCUUACGUGCGCCUUCAAAAACGAUGAUAAUGGACCGAUUGUAGGCAACGCCGGUGGAAUAACUCAAGAAAGAUCAACAAGGAAAGCAAACUUGAUUUAUAUUCCACUAAAUUGAAGAACGAAGAACAAGAACAAAGAAAGCAAAAGAAAUCUAGCAAGAGAUUGAAGAGAUCUCUUUCUAGCCCAAUCUAGUGGAGAUUGAUGAAUCCACCACUAGCCCAAGUCCUAGAACACAAGAUCUAAGGACGGAAAUCGGCACAAGUGCCGCCCAAGCCUUACGGCCGACAAAAUAACAUAACUCUGGAAUAACUCUGGAUGCCUCUCAAUGGCCCUCUACAUCCCUAUUUAUAGGCUAAGCCCUAGACAAAACUAAGUAACACCCUUUAGGUAAACAUGGCAAAUUGUCUUUCAAUGGAUCCAAGGCUUUUCCACCGUCGAUUGGCAUAAGAUUAGUGGCUGAAAAUCACUCAAGAAGGGCCCUCCCACGGCUGGUCAUUGGCUUGAUUUUUGGCCGUUGGAUGGAAGAGGUUGGAGGGCUGGAUCUGCAUGGGUCGCGCGGAUUGGGUGCAAGGGACGCGGCAGGCCGGUGCGGGCGCGGUUGAUCGGGUCGCGCAUCCCGGCUGGACGUUUCCCAGUUCGGGUGGAACUGGGACUGGGCGUGCGGCAGGCCGGUGCGGGCGCGGGCGUGCGGGCGGGCGCGCGCGGGCACUUUAGCAGGCGAGGUUUGGCUGGCCGAACCUCGGCUGAACCUCGCCGCACUUUAGCAGGCUGGCGCGCGGCUGGCUGUGCGCAGACACUGUAGAUGGCGAGGUUCUUGCCUAAGAACCUCGCCGCACUGUAACAGGUGAGGUUGGCUGUGGCAUGGCUUUGGCGGGGCUGCGCGUGCGGCGGGCUCGGCCAAGGUUGGGCAUGCUUGGCCGAGGCUUGGGCACGCAUGGGCGCGUGUCUGGCUCGGCCGAGGUUGGGCGUGCUCGGCCGAUUGAAGGGGCUUGGCCAAGGCUUUCCAAGCAAAGUAGUUGGCCUUGGCUUAACCCUCCGUUGGCCUCCUUGUGGCCCGAUGGCCCUCCUUGGUUGGCAUGGCUACUUUGGCCUUCGGUUGGCACAUAGUUGUGGCUUUUCUUGCGGCGUGGCUUGCGGGGGUCCUUAACACGCCCACGUCUCCAUCCUUGCGCGCAACCCCCCGCCUCCAGGAGGCCUGCGACGCCAUCCGACUCGCCACCGACAUCGACGCCGUCACCCUUGCCACCGACGUGCGGGACCUGCAGUCGUAGCUCGGGCCCUCGAGGAGGCCGGCCUCGUCGAUGUUCUUAUCUGCAACCAAGGCAUGUUCGUGCCUCCAGAGUUGGAGGCCCAGUUGCUGGAGGAGGUUCACUUCGUGGUGGACGUUAACCUCAUUGCUCUUUCCACCUCAUCAAAGCCGCCCUCCCUGCCACGAGGGCCAGAGCCAGGGAGACCGGCCUCCCCACCUCCAUCGCCCUAUUGUCCUCCUAGGCCGGCCGGUUCCCAUCUACAAGCUCUCUCUCCCCUACCCUCCCUCUCUCUCCCACACCUUCUUCGCCCAUCCGGCUGUCCCUCCCCCUCGCCUGGGUUGCCUUCAUGGUAUUGGAAAUCCUCGCGAGUUGCGAGUCAUGGGCCUUGCAACCUCGCUAUUUAUUUUGUAAACGCCCGCUCGGCUUUGGGCCUUUGGCCUCUAACUCUCUGAGGCCUGAGCUUAAUUUCAAUUUUCAUAGGGAUACAGAGCUUGGGUCGUGCCUUAAUAGAACUUGUUUGCACCCCGUAGGCACAAAUAAUUUUAUAAAUUUGGGUUGGGUCGGAUCUGAAUUCAUUAAACCCAGACCCGAUCCAAAAAAUGGAACAGGUCCAAUUUUAAGGCCCGACUCGGCCCCAUGGGUCCUCCAAAACGGGUCAGGCCUGGACGGGUUACAGGUCAACCCGACCCAUUUGCAGCCUUAGUUAGGUACAAAUUGAAUGGGAUUAUGGGGUGUAGAUUUUGAAGUAGAGAGGACAGUGAAAUGGUCAUAUUUCAAGAGUCUUUAGAACCUUGUAAUCUUUUAUUUUUUUAGAAUUUGAUAAUUAUAAUAUUUAAACUACUAUGUUCUCUCUCCUCUCCUCUUAGCAUUAUGGGGAGAUUGUGACAUCAUUUGGUUUAGAUAUUCCCUCGAUACUAAAUCUACAAUUGGCUAUGUUUUCCUUUUAAAAGAUGGUGCAAUUUCUUGAAUUUUUGUUAGGCAAGCUUAAUUUUCAGGUGCUAUAUGGAGGAUGAAAUAAUAGCAUUAGAUUGUAUAGCUGUAUUUCGUUGCAGACUAAAUUUUGUAGGGACAAGGGAAACUUAACUGGGUACUAGCGGACGGAUAGGACUUAUUUGAGAUUUUUGGCAUUUGGUGAGAUAGAUAAGUGCAGGUAAUAAAGUGCAUAAAAUGUGCAUGAGAUUUCACAAUGAUUUGAAUGUUACCACAAGGAUGAAAUUGCCCUUCCACUUUUACUAUUUUUAGAUAGGGGAUAGAUACGAAAAAGUAAUUUGAAGGGAACAACUUUUCUCUUUUCUAUGGUAUAAGUUUAUUCCACCAAAAUGAUGGAAUGUAAUUUUGUUUUUGAUUGCCCGCUUAUCCCUCCUAUGUUAUAAGUCUAUUCCCUCCUCCCUAUUUUUGAGGCUUUGGUAGGAUAUCUCCCCACUUUGGGGGGAUGCUGGUUAGAGGGUGGAUAAUACAAGGUUAUCUAGCUAACUAGCCAAACAAAAAAGGUUUGAAUAAUCUUAUUCGGCCAAUGAGCCAAAAAGUUAGAUAACUAGGUUAAUAUUUUUUUGCGGGAUAGUAAAAUAACUUAACCAACCUUUUAGCCUCUCCAGCCGCUAUUUUUCUAUUCCAAAUUUACCCUGGAUCAGGGUUCGCCGGACCGACUGUACCGGCGUACCAGUGAGCACCGGCACCGGUACGGUACCGGCUUGGGACCGGUACCGAACCGGAGCCGCGCGUGCGGCGGCGAGCGCGCGGACUUCAAAAAAAAAGCAAAAAAAAAAAUGCGUCCGCGCGCGGACGCGUCAAAUGCCACAGAGUGGCAUUUAGCAUUUAAUGCCCCCACGCGGGCUGGCAACCCGCGUGGGCACGGUGCCCCAUGCGGGGAACCGCGCUCGGGCGCGAUUCCCUGCUGGGGAAAUGCGCGCGGGCGUGGUUCCUGCGUGUAGAAUCGCGCGCGGGCGCGCGUUCUCCGCUCGUGCGUCCGCGCGCGUUUCCCAAAAAAAAAAUGCGUCCGUGGACGCGUCAAAUGCCACUCUGUGGCAUUUAAUGCCCCCACGUGGGCUGGCAGCCCGCGUGGGUACGGUGCCCCGCGCGGGGAACCGCGCUCGGGCGCGCUUCCUACACGGGGAAACUGCGCGUCCGCGCGGACGCGUUAAAUGCCACAGAGUGGCUUUUAAUGCCACUCUGUGGCAUUAAGAGGCCCACGCGGGCAGCGGGGAAAGACCGGCCGGUACCGGCUUGUACCGGCGUCGNNNNNNNNNNNNNNNNNNNNNNNNNNNNNNNNNNNNNNNNNNNNNNNNNNNNNNNNNNNNNNNNNNNNNNNNNNNNNNNUCGCACCGGUACCGGCUUGUACCGGCCCGGUUCGCACCGGUACCGGCUUGUACCGGCGCGAACCGGCCCGGUUCGCACCGGUCCAAGCACGGAACCAAUUGAUUCCGACCCAGUUUGGAUCGGAACCGUUUUUAUAUGCUGUACCGUACCGGUGCCCGUCGGCACCGGUUCCGUACAGGCUGAACCGACCGGUUCCGGUCGGUUCAGCAGACCUUGCCCUGGAUGGAUAUUUUUUAUUGCUUCUUUAUUACCAUCCCUCACUUUUUACUGCAGCAUUCUCUCUCCUCUCGACCUCUUUAGGUUCCAUCAGAGCAUCCCUUUCUGGUUAUGAGCUGCUCUUACUAGUGGCUGGAGACACCCACGCCCUAGUUCUCAGGCCUUGUCACCAGCCUAGCAGCGAGCCACCUUUUUGUUUUUUCUGAGCCCAAUUUUGUUGAAGGCAAAGGUCUGGUGGAGUAGUGGCAUCCAGCACCAUUGACAUACUCUCUGGGCUUGCUGCUGGCUUCUCCCACCUUCCUGGCCUCCGAUUUAGGAUUCAAUCUAGCCCUGACUAGCUGUGAAUUUCCUCUAUAGCCCAGUCUUGUCGGUGGAAGGUCUGGGAAGAAGCUUUCUCCUCAUUCUGACGGCAUGAGAGGGUUCAUAUGAGGUUUGCCUUCAUCACCCUCUUUGCCUCCCCACUUUUUUCUCUAUUAUUAUCCAUGUCAGUGUCAUCCUUGGCUGUUUUAUUUGGUAGAGCUCCGAUUGCAGCACCCCCCCCCCCCCACCCCUAGCUACCAUAACAUAGCUAUUGGUGCAAGCUACUGCUUCUAGAUCCUCUCUAUUAUUUUCUGCAGAUUGAGAAACAUGGGUAUCGGGUUGCAAAAGAACAACAUUGAUAGGGUUAUGGGAUUGAUAUCCAUGAACACUCUCAAAUAAGCUCUUACCUGUAGACCUUUGAACAGAAUUAUUAUAAAUGAAUUCAGCAGCAGGUAGCAUCAAGUCCCAAUUAUCCAGUUUGUCUCCAACAUAUCUAAGCAAAUCACCCCAACUAUGAUUAAGUGUUUUCGUUUGAUAAUCAGUUUGGGGGUGGUCUGCAGAGGAAAAUAUCAAUUUAGCACCCCACAAUUUUUAAAGUAUCUUCCAAAAGUAACUAACAAACCUGACAAUCCCUAUCAGCCACUAUGGAACUAGGUAACACAUGCAGCUUGACCACAUCCCUAAAGAACAAUUUGGCUGCAUGUGAGGCAUCAUAUGUCCUACCACAUGGAAUGAAAUAUGCCGUUUUGGGUAACGUAUCAACCAUAACAAAGAUGGAAUCAUAACCUCGGGCUGUUCUAGAUUAUCCUAGGACAAAGUUGAUGUUCAAUAGCACUAGUAGAGGGGUAUAAAGUCUGAUGUUUUAUUUCUUGGCUUUAGCUAGCUGAUAAGUGCGACAUUAGGAAACUAUCCCAGCUUCGUCCCUCUUCAAUGAAGGCCAAUAAAACCUAUCCUCAACUAAGGCAAUGGUCUUAUCUCUUUAUAAAUGAUCAUAUGGACCUUCAGCAUGCAUAUCCCAAACUAGAACUCCCUAAGUGAAGUACGUGAGAUGCAUAACCUGUUAGCUCCAAACAGGUAACCCUAAUGGAUAACGAAGUCAACUUACUAGCUAAGGGGACCACUCUUAACCUCCUAUUAAAUCAAACCAAGAUCAGGGCAGAUAGCAUAUCAUCCUUCAACCUAUCAAAUCCUAUAACCUCAGCACUAUCCUACUAAGAGCAUAAGCUACUUUAUUCUCAACACCUGAAUGAUGUUUGAGAACAAAGGAGUAGUGAUUCAAAUACUCUACACACUUAGCAUGCUUAGAGCUUAAUUUCUUUUAUGAGUUUAGGUACCACUAUGCUAAGUGGUUAGAAUAGAGUACAAAUUCUGUGGGUAACGAAUAAUAUCUCCAAUGAUUGAGGGACUAGACCACAAUAUUAAACUCUUUGUCAUAUGUGAAAUACUUCUGCUUUGCCUCAAAAAGUCUUACUAAAGAAAGCUAUGGGAUAUCCCUUCUAGCACAAAAUUGCACAUAUACCUAUCCUAGAAGUACCACAAGCGACCUCAAAAACCUUUCCAAAUCAGGAUGCCUCAUAAUAGGCGCCUUAGUCAUCUUUUGCUUAAUUUCCACAAAAGCUCAACUAGCCGUAGGGGUCCAACGAAACUGUCCUUUCGUAAGACAAUCAAUGAUAGGAGCCACAAUAGUGUUAAAACCCCUAACAAAGCACCUACAGAAAGAAGCAAAACCAUGGAAACUACGAUCCUCAAAAAUAGAUGAGGUUCAAGCCACUCUCUAAUAACUCUAACCUUAUCAGGAUCGGCCGCUAUAACCUAAAUGUUUGUUAGCUAGCAUAGUUUUGAACUAGGACCUUUGGAUUAAACUGCAAUAAAUAAAUGAAUACAUUGAAUAAUACAAAUAUAAGAUUGGUUUGAGCCAGAAAUGUGCUAGUAUCCUAUUUUCAUGAGUAUAUGCAGAGAAUAGUCCAAUUCUUAUAUUUGUGGCCCAUAAUAAAUGCUAAUAUAGUAGUCUCCAAGGUGUAGCACAAUUAUAUACCCUACCUAAGAAGGCCAUGAACUCAUUCAAUUAUAUACCCUAAUCAAAAUAGAGUAACAAUCUCUCUUCCCCCGCCCCCCAAACCCCCUAUUCCUCCAUUCCCCUCAAUUUCUUGGUUUUUGCAGUACAUCUCUUCACUCUCUUGUAAGGUCCAAUGUGCCCAGUUUGUUGGUCAACCCAUGUUUCUUGAGGUCCCUCCAAUAGAUUCAGCAUUAGGGGCGAGUCUUCAGAUUUGAGGCCCAUGAGAACAUACGAUUCUAACCUAAAGAAGGAGGCCUCUUAUGGCCGAGAGCCUUGGCAACCAUGGAUCCCACUAAUGGAGGGAGGGGCUGGGUUUGGGAGCUUGGUUGAUCGAUUCUCUAUCUCAAUGGCGGCAACCACUCAACCACCAAGGGCUAUGGAGUGGUUCAUGGUGGAGAGAGCCAUCUUUGGGCACUCGUUUGCCUUGCAGGCCAUUGGCUUUAAGAUUGGAUUGGCCUGCUCGAGCUUGGUUUGAUUUGGGCCCAUCUACGCUUCGGUCAUGCUCGGCUUCAGGCUUGGGUCGGGGUUAGGCCUAACUUAGAAAAAAGUUCCUGGGCCUAGGCUCGAUUGAAGCCUGAUUUUUUUUUUGGGCUGGGCCUAGGAUACAUGGAAACCCAAGCUUGCCUAGCUUAGUUCCUAGUCUACUGGUAGCACUAUAUAAGUAAAAGGACACUCAAUCAAGCAAACAAAGAAAGAGCAAACAACCUACCUAGCAGUAAUGCAGCAAGAAAAGGCAUUUGAUAGACUAAGGAAAAUAGAGGAAAAAGCCAAGAAAAAGGAGAGGGGGAAUGGAGAGUAGGGACUCUAUCAUCGGCAUGGAAAACAUAAGGACUAGGAGGACAAGUGGAUGCAAAGUAAGAGGAAGAAGGAUGAGGAAAAAGGAAUGAAGAAAAAUAAAAGACGAAAAAUAGAAAAAAACCGACCUGACAAAAUUGAUGGCUAUUGCCAUUGCCUCUAUUGCUCACUAUUGCUCUUGGAAUCGCUAGUGGUUACUAAUCUCUCUCCUAUAGCGGCUCGGGUCAAUCAUUGCCUCAAUUCUUGGCAUUGGUUGUUGUCAUGGUACGCCAUACAAUACCGAGCCGGACGGUACGGGGUAUACCGUGUACCGUACCAGUUUGGUACUGAUGCUCGGUAUGGAGGGCAUACCAACCCUUGGUACAUUGAAUUGGUUCCUGUACCGGGCAUACUAACAGAGUGACAAGGUGGCACUGGUACGGGCUCCGGUAUCGAGAUGGCGUACCUUGGUUGUUCGAAUAGAGAAGCAAAAAGGUGAAAGAAGUCUAAGGUUUUAAGUUUUCAUGGCCUAGGUAACCAAGCCAAAAUAUGCACCUAGGCACCUAUGCAAGCUCCUUGAACAACAUUAUUCCAAACCUUGCUCAGAACUAAAUUGUAAUGACUUAAAAUAUUCCCUGGCCCUUCUUAUAUCCAGAAUAAAACUUUGGAACUAAUCCUGCUAGAAAUAGGACUCGAUAACAACGUAGAUAUGGUUAGAGGAAUCUACUCUAGAAUCAUAAUAGAAACUAAAGAGUACCUGGCUUACUCUGAUACGACUUAAAUUACACAAGAAGAUACCCUAAGUUAGAAGAGCACCUCAAA